CUGAAACCCAAGGAGGAGACUGGCCCUCCGUUCUUUCGCCGCAGAAUCUCGGCCAAACCACCAUCAUCCCCAGCAUCUGGCUUCCCUUCUCUCCUCCCGCGCUGUCGGCCAGCCUCUGGGGCAGAGGAGCAAACAACUUGUGGGAGGGGAUGAUGGAGGGACAGACAGCCUGGCCGAACUCUCUGGUCUCUUCAGCUUGGGUGCCAUUUUUCUCAGCCACCCGCGCUCCUGUGGACGAUGCCCGCUCUGACCUUUGUCGCUGCGCACCACCUCUUCCCCCGAGGACCUCUCCGCGUGACUCGUUGGGAUCUGGGGUCUUGGGCGCCCAGAAGGAGCGGGGUACCCGGCCCAGGUCACAGCGGAGAGCUGAAGAGACAGGCUAGGGGGUGGGAGCUGGCCGACCCCAUGCAAGUACAAAGGCAGCCCCAUUACCACCCCCCACCCUUUUUUGCAGUCAUGUCUUUUUCAGCCUAAGUAGAGAGCAACUUGACCUGAAAAAAUUCGUGUCUCUAUGUGGGUGUUGGAACAUCUGCGGAUCUUUGUCCGGAAGCUGCGUGGUGCUGAGAGCCCAGGUUCUGUGCUUCAGGGAGCUGUUGUCCUUCGGGUUUGUUUUUGCAGCAGUGUGAUGGAUGGGUCCUCCUCAAGGAGCCCCCGUGCCCGCUGCAACUGGCCUUUCUCCAGGACGCUGGGCCUGAUGGUGGCUCUGCUUCUUGUCGGUGGACAGGGUGCCACCGCGGAGGGCCACGUCCGGGGUCACAGAAGAGACUCCAGUGAUUGGGGCCCCUGCGUGGUGCCUCGCCUGGUGGUCCCUGGGAACUGAGCCCACCUUUCACUUCUUUCCCACAGAGAACUCAGGGGAGUUCAGCUCCAGAAGUAGGUGACAGCCUGCUGGAGACUCCGCUGAUGAUGGUGCUGGCGUUCAGAAGACAGUCGUCAUCCUGUGGGGUAAACGUGUUGCCUGUUUGCGUGUCUUAUUUGGAACACACAGAAAAAGGAGCUGCCUGGCAGCCUGGCUCUCCGCAAGAGAACUUCUGGCACGGACCCUGUAGGACGGAUCGUAUUUGUGAAUAAAAAAGGAGAAAGGCAUGUUCGCCCCUCAUCCCUGCCGGGAGAGCUCUGAGCUGCUCUGAUCCUGAUUUGUAUCAGCACUGCUGCCAUCCUGCCGGCCGGCUUCUCUGCACUCUAGGGACUGCCGACAGGCAUCAGAGAUGCGUUGUGUGAGAGUGUGUGUGUGUGAAUGAGUGUGAACUCUGUGUGUGGGAGAGAGAGUGUGUAUAUGUGAAUUUUGUGUGUGUGUGGGGAGAGAGACUGUGUGUGUGUGUGUGUGUGUGUGUGUGUGUGUGUGUGUGUGAGAAUGCGGCAUGUGAGGCAGGGCCAUACAUCUGUUGGCUGGAGAAAGGCAGGGGAGGGAAGAGGAGUUCUCGGGGCAGGUCCACAGCUCUGGGGCCACCGGCAUUGCUGGCUCUUUUAAAGGCAUGGGGGUGUGUUGAAGCACACCUAACGUACUAUUUAGAAGUGACCAAAGUCCAGAAAUCAACCAGUUGAUGUCUAAAUGAAGGUUGUGUUAAAUGCAGAGAAUCGUAUAUCCUUUAGUAUCACUAGUGCCUGCAUGUUUGACAUAGAAAGACCCGACAAGUCAGGAGCCUUCCCCUGCCGGGUCGCCCGCCGCCACUGCCGUCUGUAAGCUCAUGCUGCUUUUGUAUCAGUUUCCGGCCUCCCUUCUUGUCUGUUUCCCACCCUCGUUCACUCCUUAGGCACACAGGAAUGUCUGUCCGCACGCCUGUGGUACCGUUUCCUUGGGGACCUGUUCGUCCAGUGUCUCUGAUAUGGUAAACGGUGUUCCCUUCGUUUCACAUGUGAGCACAGUGCAGGCUUGCUGCAGAGGUGAGCCAUUUCUGAGACGGUGCGGCUCCCCGCCUAGCCCUGGCGGCCUGGAGAGUCUGAGCCCCCGCCCCUGCUGGGUUGAGAGUGCAGGCAGAGAGGGUCAGAGAGGAAGUGAACAUGGGCUCCCGGCCACGGGCCUCCCUGCGAGACAGGUGAGCUCUGUUCAGAAAGCAGCUCAUCUAGUCUUUUGGCCCUGAUGGCCCUAUUUGUGUUUCGUCUCCCUCUCUCUCUUCCCUCCUUUCCCUCCCUCAUCUCCCUCCCCCGCCUCCAGAAGAAUUUAAUCUGCCGGACAACAAACAAUACUGUUAUAAAACUUGGAAAACAAGAGGGCGAGGCCUCCCUGACAAGGGGAAGGGCAUGCCGGGUAACUGCAGGGAGCCUGCCAGCCCGAGAUGGAGCCGGGCGAGGGCCCAGUUGGCUGGGCACCUGGGCACCCGCCCGGGCCAGGCCCACCAGCCGUGCCAUCCCCAGUCCAGAGGGGGAGGAACUGAAACACAAGUGGGGCCCCAGAAGCGCUUGAAAAGGGGAAGUAGCCCGCGUUCCCCUCUCUGAUCUGAUGGGAAUGCACUAGACUGUGAAACUCCUCCUCCCUCCCUCCUCCCCUCCCUCCUCCCAUCCCUCUUCCCUCCUCCCCCUCCCUCCUCCCACCGCUCUCUGUUGCAGGUCCUGGACUGGCAAACCCGGGUCCUGAGGCUGGCAUAAGCAGUUUAGGCGCAGCUACCUGCUGGGCCAGCUGCAGGGGAAGCAGGAGAGGAGGGUGCUCUGGGCCACCCGGCACUGCAGACCUACCCCCUGCCUGUCCUCCCCCACCUAGGGAAGUGGAACCAGGUCAGGGGCAUGCCCUGGUCCACGUGCUCUGCCAGGUGUGGGCCCAGGUACCGGUUAGAAUUGCUACUGGGAGGUCUGUGGGUGCUCCCCGGGCCUCCUGCUGCCCACAGGGGCCGUGCUCCCGGGAGGAUGUCCACCUCCGGGAGAGGCCCUGCUCUCCUUUCAGGAGGAGUCCGGCAGUGCCGCAGAGGCUGGGCACACCCCUGGACCCGUUCCCGCUGACAGGCACAGUGUUUCUCCCCACAGGCAGGCAUGGGGCCCUGUGCGUGGGGCUCCCAGGGGGUGUGGGGGGGCUGUGUCUCCUGUUCACUCCCGGUGGCAGGGACACUGGAUUCUGGGUGUCUCUUCCCCCAACUUCCAGGGCUAGAUUUAACCUGAGCCUGAAGUUUCCCCUCCGAGCGCAUCCUCGCCGGGUCAAUAAAUGAUGUUGGGGGACAAGCGGGGAGUCGGUGGCUGCUUCUCCUGGGGACCUGCUCUGGCGCGGAGCCGCAAACUGCGGUGGGCAUCGUGCGUGUGACAGACAGUCCGCACACUCCCUUUCCUGCUUGUGGAAAGCACCAGCUUCCGUGAAGGCAGUCCAGCACUGUGCCCACGCCGCACCCAGGCAGAGCCACUCUCUAGGCAACAGGGAGUCAUCCUUGACCCCAUCUUCAUGGCCCCCCCACCGUCUCUUGCUGCCCCCCCAGGCUCCAUGGCAUCCCCGGGCAGGGUAGCUUCGUGUGUCCUCCUGGCCCAGGGCCCCCACGCCCUGUCCUGAGUCCAGGACGUGGGGAGAUUUCUAGACCCAAGUCUUUGCUGGUAGUGUCAAGGAAGGGACGGAAGCCUCAGAACGUAGGUCCCCUAUACCCCCGCCCCAGGAGAAACUGGAAGUGCAUGUGCUGGGCCCACCCCAGCUGAGAAGGCAGUGAUUUCUGGCGUUAUCUCAAGGGCGAUGUGCAUGCGCGAUGGGGAGGGGUGAUGGUUAGUGGGUCCGUGCGCCACCCCCGCUUUGGGAUCCAGGGCUGGUGAAGUGCGGUGGUUCCCGGACACUGAGCCCUCCAUGCCCUCCUGCUCCCCAGCCCCCUGUCCCUGUACCUGUCGUUUUAUCUCCCUUUCGUCUGAUUCAUUACCCACAAGCUAGUUGGCCACAGGCCCCGCCCUGACCACUUGGAGACAAAAUGUUCAGGACACUGGGCCGGGGCUGGAGCUGAGGGUGGCAGGAAGCUGGGCCGGGCCUCCGUGUUGAGAGGGACAGUGGUUCAGGAGCGCCUCGAGGGCAGACCGCUCCCCGUUCUCCAGGAGGGCCUUCUAGGGGCCUCUGUCUCCCCAAGAUGACUCUUCCUCCCUACCGGGAGCCCUGAAACCAGCAUUCCCAGUGGCAGGAAGAUGGAUGAGCUGGCCUCCACUUCCGGCUCUCCUCCCCCGCUCCGGCUGGAACUUGCGUCAGUCCUGUAAGUAGCUGUGACUCAGCACCCAGCGGGUCGGAGGGAGGGGGAGGCUGCCGCCUCCCAGGAGCCUUCCCGGCUCUGGAUCUGAACACGCCGUGGUGGCGCAGGACACGGCCGGUAGCCCUGGUUCCUGCGUGUUCUGUGUCUGUGCUUACGGAUCUCAUAAAUAAGGGUUCCUCUCCUUCCUGUUUUCCUCCUUUAUUAUUUUUUUUGUAGGGGGUCACCAUACUGGGCAUAGGAUUCUUAGGACUUUAAAUGAUGCAGACAGCGUCAUUUACAGAAUGCAGUGGACACUCUCUUUGCCGUCUCCGGACUGUUCUGGAAGCAAAGGCCCAUGGAUUGUAUUUAACCCUCAGAUGUUUGGUUUUGGCCUGUGCAGUUUUUGUGUCUUGUUUCUUGUUUAGCUGCAUCUGACUCUGUGUGCCUGUAGACUGCGCAGGGCCACCGGACUUCUGCACACUGUCCCCGCUCCGCUUGUCUCAUUUCCUGC
ensembl:lncRNA